rnacentral:rRNA from 1 species
UUCGGGUGGGAGUGGCAGACGGGUGAGUAACACGUGGGAACGUACCCUUUGGUUCGGGACAACUCUGGGAAACUGGAGCUAAUACCGGAUACGCCCUUUUGGGGAAAGGUUUACUGCCGAAGGAUCGGCCCGCGUCUGAUUAGCUAGUUGGUGGGGUAACGGCCUACCAAGGCGACGAUCAGUAGCUGGUCUGAGAGGAUGAUCAGCCACACUGGGACUGAGACACGGCCCAGACUCCUACGGGAGGCAGCAGUGGGGAAUAUUGGACAAUGGGCGCAAGCCUGAUCCAGCCAUGCCGCGUGAGUGAUGAAGGCCUUAGGGUUGUAAAGCUCUUUUAUCCGGGACGAUAAUGACGGUACCGGAGGAAUAAGCCCCGGCUAACUUCGUGCCAGCAGCCGCGGUAAUACGAAGGGGGCUAGCGUUGCUCGGAAUCACUGGGCGUAAAGGGCGCGUAGGCGGCGUUUUAAGUCGGGGGUGAAAGCCUGUGGCUCAACCACAGAAUGGCCUUCGAUACUGGGACGCUUGAGUCUGGUAGAGGUUGGUGGAACUGCGAGUGUAGAGGUGAAAUUCGUAGAUAUUCGCAAGAACACCGGUGGCGAAGGCGGCCAACUGGACCGGCACUGACGCUGAG